AUUGAACGCUGGCGGCAUGCCUUACACAUGCAAGUCGAACGGCAGCACAGGAGAGCUUGCUCUCUGGGUGGCGAGUGGCGGACGGGUGAGGAAUACAUCGGAAUCUACUUUUUCGUGGGGGACAACGUAGGGAAACUUACGCUAAUACCGCAUACGACCUACGGGUGAAAGCAGGGGACCUUCGGGCCUUGCGCGAUUGAAUGAGCCGAUGUCGGAUUAGCUAGUUGGCGGGGUAAAGGCCCACCAAGGCGACGAUCCGUAGCGGGUCUGAGAGGAUGAUCAGCCACACUGGAACUGAGACACGGUCCAGGCUCAUACGGGGUGCAGCAGUGGGGAAUAUUGGACAAUGGGCGCAAGCCUGAUCCAGCCAUACCGCGUGGGUGAAGAAGGCCUUCGGGUUGUAAAGCCCUUUUGUUGGGAAAGAAAUCCAGCUGGCUAAUACCCGGUUGGGAUGACGGUACCCAAAGAAUAAGCACCGGCUAACUUCGUGCCAGCCGCCGCCGUAA
rnacentral:rRNA from 1 species